GGGGAUUUAGCUCAGUGGUAGAGCGCUUGCCUAGCAAUAGCAAGGCCCUGGGUUCGGUCCCCAGCUCCG
rfam:Rattus norvegicus chromosome 14, whole genome shotgun sequence.